rnacentral:rRNA from 1 species
GACGAACGCUGGCGGCGUGCCUAAUACAUGCAAGUAGAACGCUGAAGGAGGAGCUUGCUUCUCUGGAUGAGUUGCGAACGGGUGAGUAACGCGUAGGUAACCUGCCUGGUAGCGGGGGAUAACUAUUGGAAACGAUAGCUAAUACCGCAUAAGAGUAGAUGUUGCAUGACAUUUGCUUAAAAGGUGCAAUUGCAUCACUACCAGAUGGACCUGCGUUGUAUUAGCUAGUUGGUGGGGUAACGGCUCACCAAGGCGACGAUACAUAGCCGACCCGAGAGGGGGAUCGGCCAACCUGGGACUGAGACAAGGCCCAGACUCCUAAGGGAGGCAGCAGUAGGGAAACUUCGGCAAUAGACGGAAGUCUGACCGAGCAACGCCGGGUGAGUGAAGAAGGUUUUCGGAUCGUAAAGCUCUGUUGUAAGAGAAGAAAGAGUGUGAGAGUGGAAAGUUCACACUGUGACGGUAUCUUACCAGAAAGGGACGGCUAACUACGUG